rnacentral:lncRNA from 1 species
UGAGGCUUGACAUCUUCGAUAAGCAGAAAAGUCGUCCAAACAGUUGCAACGGUAUUUUAACCAACUCAAAAGACAGUUGAUCAACAUUGACAUCGAAGAAGUAGGUUGUUCGAAGAAUGCAUGGUGCUCUCAAUCAAAAAAGAUUUCUUUCCUAGUGAAGUGUGCCCACUUUACUUUUCUGAAAAGUACAUACUUUCAAAAAGCAAGCAUGUUCACCGCAAGGUGAAGUGUGCCCACUUAGUCCCCGAGCCUGGUAGUAGGUGACGUAGGCACGUGGUGCCAGGGUCAAAAAAGUCUUCAUAGAAAUUCCAAAACUGAGAUGCAUCGCCACAUGCAUCGUACCGAUGUAGUCCCCGAGAUUGCUGGAAGGCGAAGUAUGAGCCUUGUAGCAAGGUCUAAAAAAUAAAAUUACCCC